CCUGGCAAGCAACAUGACUAAAAAGAAGUGGGAGAAUCUGGGCGUCGCUCUAGAGAUCAAUGGGCUGGAGGAGAAGCUGUCCCAGGGCCAGUGGGACCUGGAGGCCGUGAGCUGCUGGCUCCUCAGAGCAGAGCUGAGCCCCGAGGACAGCAGGUCUCUGGAGAAGGAGAGAAACAGUGUAAUGAACAGAGCUUCCAACUAUGAGAAGGAGCUGAAGUUGCUUUGGCAGGAGAACCAGAAGGAGAUGCUGCUCUCGGUGGCCAUCUUCUUCCUCCUGGCCCUGCUGUACGCACACUGGACCAUGUGAG